GACGAACGCUGGCGGCGUGCUUAACACAUGCAAGUCGAACGGAAAGGCCCUGCUUUUGUGGGGUGCUCGAGUGGCGAACGGGUGAGUAACACGUGAGUAACCUGCCCUUGACUUUGGGAUAACUUCAGGAAACUGGGGCUAAUACCGGAUAGGAGCUCCUGCUGCAUGGUGGGGGUUGGAAAGUUUCGGCGGUUGGGGAUGGACUCGCGGCUUAUCAGCUUGUUGGUGGGGUAGUGGCUUACCAAGGCUUUGACGGGUAGCCGGCCUGAGAGGGUGACCGGCCACAGUGGGACUGAUAUACGGCCGGGCCUCCUGCGGGAGGGAGAAGUGGGGGAUAGUGCACAAUGGGCGGAAGUCUGAUGCAGCAACGCCGCGUGCGGGAUGACGGGCUUCGGGGUGUAAAACGCUUUCGCCUGUGACGAAGCGUGAGUGACGGUAAUUGGUAAAGAAGCACCGGCUAACUACGUG
rnacentral:rRNA from 1 species